rnacentral:piRNA from 1 species
ACUGCUCUGUGAAACUGUGCCCGGUCAGCCUA